CUGGCUCAGGAUGAACGCUAGCGACAGGCUUAACACAUGCAAGUCGAGGGGCAGCAUAAAAGUAGCAAUACUUGGUGGCGACCGGCGCACGGGUGAGUAACGCGUAUGCAACCUACCUAUCAGAGGGGAAUAACCCGGCGAAAGUCGGACUAAUACCGCAUAAAACAGGGGCACCGCAUGGUGAUAUUUGUUAAAGAAAUUCGCUGAUAGAUGGGCAUGCGUUCCAUUAGGUAGUUGGUGAGGUAACGGCUCACCAAGCCGACGAUGGAUAGGGGAACUGAGAGGUUGGUCCCCCACACUGGUACUGAGACACGGACCAGACUCCUACGGGAGGCAGCAGUGAGGAAUAUUGGUCAAUGGGCGAGAGCCUGAACCAGCCAAGUCGCGUGAAGGAAGAAGGAUCUAUGGUUCGUAAACUUCUUUUGCAGGGGAAUAAAGUGCAGGACGUGUCCUGUUUUGUAUGUACCCUGAGAAUAAGGAUCGGCUAACUCCGUGCCAGCAGCCGC
rnacentral:rRNA from 1 species